rnacentral:rRNA from 1 species
AGUAGCGGCGAGCGAAAUGGGAACAGCCCAGCGCAUAAUCUCCCAGGCUACCAAGCCUGCGGCGAAAUGUUGCGUCAAGGGAAUGGUCGUUAACAGCCUCGUACGCCCGUAGAUGUUGCCUAAUCGCGUCUUGAAAUAUUCGCGCAUGUUGGGUGCUACGUCUUUGGACGGAACGCUCGACUCACGGUACCAUGGAGGGUGCAAGCCCCGUUCGGCCGCGUGUUGUUGCGUGCGAAGGCUAGAUCAAUUUUCCCGGAGAGUCGCGUUGUUUGAACGUACAGCGCUAAGCAGGUGGUAAACUCCACCUAAGGCUAAAUAUAUCCACAGAACCGAUAGCAAACAAGUACCGCGAGGGAAAGUUGAAAAGUACUCUGGAGAGAGGGUGCAAAGACCGUGAAACCAUCCAGGGCAAAAGCCAAUGUCGAGUAUCCUAGUUGCGCUGGGACCACCUCUCGAGGUGUAGGCGGACAUGGUUGUAGCUUUCGAGUAUCGGUGCGUAUGUUACGAGUCGAUUCGUUAGCUCAACUGUUUUGUUCCGUCUCUCGUGUCCAUCAACAGCCCAUCGGGACUCUUGCUAGAUCAUUCGCGGUGACUCAAAUUUGAUCUUUGUUUGGACAUCAAGGGAAUUCUGUCGUCGGAGGCUCACGUUGGACUCUUAGCUCCUAGUAGGUUUCGGCCGAAGUGAGUGUGUUCACGUGUCUGUGCGAAUGGCCUUUAUGAUGGAGUUUCUGUUCAUACAAAACUUAUGCGGGUUGCCAAUGCGUUUAAGAUUCUGGGCGAGAGUUCAACAGAAGCACUUGCGUUUUGUAACUGUUCCGACGUGCCUGUAAAAGCAACGAACGAAUGGGGAGGGGCGCAAGCUAACUGAUGUACGGUGGUAUGCCUAGGCGACAUUGGUCACGUCUCGAAACACGGGCCAAGGAGCAUAGCGUAAAGGCAAGUCGCAAGGUCUUAAUAAACCUCGUGGCGAGUGAAAGCGAGUGGUGACGGAUUAAUUUCUUUCGCAGAUGUUGUGAUUAGAGUUCCAGCAAUGAGUCUCUGGUCACUUUCAUCGUCUUGUACAGAGCUGAUCCUUUAGUUCCUUGGAACGAAAAGGCGCAAGCUCCGGGCUCGCUCUUUAUCUGCUUUUUUGUGGAUUGAGAGAGCACUGCUUAGACUUUCCGCUAUAACCCGAAAGAUAGUGAACUAUGCUUGGCGAAGACGAAGCCCCAGGAAACUGUGGUGGAAGUCUGUAGCCGUUGUGACGUGCAAAUCCAUGGUGUCAGCUGAGCAUAGGGGCGAAAGACCAAUCGAACUAUCUAGUAGCUGGUUCCGUUCGAAGUUUCUCUCAGGAUAGCUUGCGCGAAGCAUACGCUCUUGUCUGAAGUCUCGUUCGCAUAAGUGAUCGAGCUUUACCCCUGGAAGUCUGACGCAAUUGAGACGUGUGACUCGUCAUCUCGUUAUUUCUCAUACUCGGAUACUGGGUUGCGGAACUACUAUUAGCAGUUACGUCUGGUAAAGAGAAUGAGUAGAGUUGGCUCGUUGGUCUUUUUGCAUCAACGGCAGCGGGGCGUUUUACGCCUCGCACUAUUAUCAAACUUUAAAUGGGCGUGAAACCUGGCAUUGGCUUGAUUGUUUGAUGCCAGGAAUGACUAAUGCAAACGUUUUACGACGUGUGCAUGGAGAAUGCUCCCGCGUUAAGUGGGUCCGUUCUGGUAAGCAGAACUGAUAAUGAGGGAUGAACCUAACGUACGUGAUAAGGGGCCCAAAUGACAGCUAUUUCUCGAAACCAUUGGAAAGGUGUUGCUUGCUGAAGACAGCAGGACGGUGGCCAUGGAAGUUGGCACCCGCUAAGGAGUGUGUAACAACUCAUCCUGCCGAAGCGAGUAACCCUGAAAAUGGAUGGCUCUAUAGCUCUCUCCCGAUGCACGACCGUUAAUGGCACAAGAGAUCUAGUGUCUCAAAGCCUUAACGAGUAGAAUGGCGUGCCGGUAAGCUUUGAAGGCCUUACCGUGAGGUUGGCCCGAGCUGCCGGCAGUGCAGAUCUUGGUGGUAGUAGCAAGUACUCUGGUGUAAACCUUGAGCUGUGAGGUUGAUAAGGGUUCCAUGUCAACAGCGUUUGAACAUGGGUAAGCCGGUCCUAAGCUACCUUUAUGUCUUGAAGGUGACGGUUAAUGCGGGAGCGUACGUAGUACAAAAUGUGUUUGGAACACAUUAAAGCGCAUUUACUGCAAUUCGUCAAGUAUCGUGCCACGCAACCACAGUGUUUCGCGAACGGACUAUGUUUUUUGUAUUCAUAUACUUACGACUGGUCACUACUAGCGAUUGUGUGCGUUGGAAUUAGAUGGUUGACUGUUGUACGUAGUGUGUGUGUUCUGUUAUGUGUUUUGGAAUCGUUGCUCUAGCGUAGCCUGGCGAAAGGGAAAUGUGAACUCAGUUCAUAUGCCUCUCCUGGCACCCUGAAACGGUUUACCGUGACAUGGACCUAGCGAUAGACGCCAGGCCAGUCGUUGUCAUAAGUAGCUCAGCGGGGAGAUUUCUUCUCUCUUUGAUAAGGCUCGUAGCUCUGAAAACACCUCGCGUGGCGGAAGAGCGAUGCCUUGUAUAGCAGAGUACUCUGGUCCCUCGAGUAGACUGACGCUGCUUGUGAUCCUUGAAAAGGUGGCCGAGGGGAUACGAUGUUAGAAGAGUGUGCACGCACCAGCGUGCUACUCUCUCUCUAUACUUGAGUGUUAGCCACGGAGUGACCGUACCCAUUUCCGCAUCCGUCUCAAA